GUUGAUAAGCCUUAUCACCCUGCAGCCUAAGACUGGUUACUCACUGAAGGUAAGCAGGGCUGAGCCUGAUCAGUACCUGGAUGGAAAAUCACAUUGGAAAACAAGGUUUUAUCGGAA
rnacentral:rRNA from 1 species